CAGUAGCCGCGGUAAUACGAGGGGGGCAAGCGUUGUUCGGAAUUAUUGGGCGUAAAGGGUGCGUAGGCGGUUUGGCAAGUUUGGUGUGAAAUCUUCGGGCUCAACUCGAAGUCUGCAUCGAAAACUGCCGGGCUUGAGUAUGGGAGAGGUGAGUGGAAUUUCCGGUGUAGCGGUGAAAUGCGUAGAUAUCGGAAGGAACACCUGUGGCGAAAGCGGCUCACUGGACCAUAACUGACGCUGAUGCACGAAAGCUAGGGGAGCAAGCAGGAUUAGAUACCCCGGUAGUCCCUGUCUCUUAUAC
rnacentral:rRNA from 1 species